CUGGAGGUAUCAGAAGUGCGAAUGCUGACAUAAGUAACGAUAAAGCGGGUGAAAAGCCCGCUCGCCGGAAGACCAAGGGUUCCUGUCCAACGUUAAUCGGGGCAGGGUGAGUCGACCCCUAAGGCGAGGCCGAAAGGCGUAGUCGAUGGGAAACAGGUUAAUAUUCCUGUACUUGGUGUUACUGCGAAGGGGGGACGGAGAAGGCUAUGUCGGCCGGGCGACGGUUGUCCCGGUUUAAGCGUGUAGGCUGACUUUCCAGGCAAAUCCGGAAGGUUAAGGCUGAGGCGUGAUGACGAGGCACCACGGUGCUGAAGUGACAAAUGCCCUGCUUCCAGGAAAAGCCUCUAAGCAUCAGGUAACAUCAAAUCGUACCCCAAACCGACACAGGUGGUCAGGUAGAGAAUACCAAGGCGCUUGAGAGAACUCGGGUGAAGGAACUAGGCAAAAUGGUGCCGUAACUUCGGGAGAAGGCACGCUGACAUGUAGGUGAAGCCCCUGCGGGUGGAGCUGAAGUCAGUCGAAGAUACCAGCUGGCUGCAACUGUUUAUUAAAAACACAGCACUGUGCAAACACGAAAGUGGACGUAUACGGUGUGACGCCUGCCCGGUGCCGGAAGGUUAAUUGAUGGGGUUAUCGCAAGAGAAGCUCCUGAUCGAAGCCCCGGUAAACGGCGGCCGUAACUAUAACGGUCCUAAGGUAGCGAAAUUCCUUGUCGGGUAAGUUCCGACCUGCACGAAUGGCGUAAUGAUGGCCAGGCUGUCUCCACCCGAGACUCAGUGAAAUUGAACUCGCUGUGAAGAUGCAGUGUACCCGCGGCAAGACGGAAAGACCCCGUGAACCUUUACUACAGCUUGACACUGAACAUUGAGCCUUGAUGUGUAGGAUAGGUGGGAGGCUUUGAAGCGUGGACGCCAGUCUGCGUGGAGCCGACCUUGAAAUACCACCCUUUAAUGUUUGAUGUUCUAACCUGGCGCCGUGAUCCGGCGUGGGGACAGUGUCUGGUGGGUAGUUUGACUGGGGCGGUCUCCUCCCAAAGUGUAACGGAGGAGCACGAAGGUCAGCUAAUCCUGGUCGGACAUCAGGAGGUUAGUGCAAUGGCAUAAGCUGGCUUGACUGCGAGAGUGACGGCUCGAGCAGGUGCGAAAGCAGGUCAUAGUGAUCCGGUGGUUCUGUAUGGAAGGGCCAUCGCUCAACGGAUAAAAGGUACUCCGGGGAUAACAGGCUGAUACCGCCCAAGAGUUCAUAUCGACGGCGGUGUUUGGCACCUCGAUGUCGGCUCAUCACAUCCUGGGGCUGAAGUAGGUCCCAAGGGUAUGGCUGUUCGCCAUUUAAAGUGGUACGCGAGCUGGGUUUAGAACGUCGUGAGACAGUUCGGUCCCUAUCUGCCGUGGGCGCUGGAGAAUUGAGGGGGGCUGCUCCCAGUACGAGAGGACCGGAGUGGACGCAUCACUGGUGUUCGGGUUGUCAUGCCAAUGGCACUGCCCGGUAGCUAAAUGCGGAAGAGAUAAGUGCUGAAAGCAUCUAAGCACGAAACUUGCCCCG
rnacentral:rRNA from 1 species